CAACCAAUUCAAGAGGGUGGUGGUGAGAGUCAGCACCAGGCUCCUUCAGCACCUCCACCAACAGCAGCUGCAAGCCUUCCCCCCGUGGUCAAAGAAAUCUGGGGGCCCUUCACAGCUAAACUCAAAAUGAUGGCAGAGGACCUCCCCUCAAUCAUAACAAAGGCUGUGAAGAGCUCCAACAAAAAACUUCAGGAUGAGAUCUCCA
rnacentral:lncRNA from 1 species